GACGAACCGUGCGAACGUUGUUCGGAAUCACUGGGCUUAAAGGGCUCGUAGGCGGCCAACUAAGUCAGACGUGAAAUCCCCAGGCUCAACCUGGGAACUGCGUCUGAUACUGGAUGGCUUGAAUUCGGGAGAGGGAUGCAGAAUUCCAGGUGUAGCGGUGAAAUGCGUAGAUAUCUGGAGGAAUACCGGUGGCGAAGGCGGCAUCCUGGACCGACAUUGACGCUGAGGAGCGAAAGCUAGGGGAGCAAACGGG
rnacentral:rRNA from 1 species